rnacentral:rRNA from 1 species
CCUACGGGAGGCAGCAGUGAGGAAUAUUGGUCAAUGGGCGGAAGCCUGAACCAGCCAAGUAGCGUGUAGGAUGACGGCCCUACGGGUUGUAAACUGCUUUUAUACGGGAAUAACGCGCCUUACGUGUAGGGCUUUGCAUGUACCGUAUGAAUAAGGACCGGCUAAUUCCGUUCCAGCAGCCGCGGUAAUACGGAAGGUCCGGGCGUUAUACGGAUUUAUUGGGUUUAAAGGGAGAGUAGGCGGCAUGUCAAGCGUGCUGUGAAAUUUCCGGGCUCAACCCGGGCCUUGCAGCGCGAACUGUCGUGCUUGAGUCCGCGGAAGGCAGGCGGAAUUCGUCGUGUAGCGGUGAAAUGCUUAGAUAUGACGAAGAACCCCGAUUGCGAAGGCAGCUUGCUGCAGCGGAACUGACGCUGAUGCUCGAAAGCGCGGGUAUCGAACAGGAUUAGAUACCCUUGUAGUC